UGGUCGCGCGCGGUCUCAGGGACCGCAAUGACCUUAUUUUAGUCAUUUUACAAAAACUAUAAACCAUAGAUGGUUGAGCGACCAUGAUAUCCUCGAGGAGAUGAGAUUCCGCGCACGACCGGUCGUGUUCCAAAAAAAUUCAUGGAAUGAAAUUGAAAUCUGGACAAUGAGUUACGUUAAAUCAGAACGGUUUGCAGAGGAGGCGGAAACAGAAGAUGAACAUGAUUGUGAUUAUGUUAAACCAUUAAUACUGAUAAGGAAUAUC